CCUACUGAUUAACGCUUUCCAACACGGCCAGGCACUCGAGUUGCAACUUUUCCUUUGAAAACGGAGUGCAGGCGCCCCUCGGUUCCUAGGGCUAGACAAGCUGCUGAUGGCGAGGGGGACACCGUAAUUCAGAGCAGAAAAUCAUCAUCUCCAACAGCACCAGGCAUAGAGUGAAGAACACCUUCCUGACCUGCCAAAGCCAAUUCCUGAAGCAGUGCCCUGCAUUUUCCCUUAAGGCAUGCCUCUCAUGAGAGCUGAUAAGAUAAAGACACUAUGUAGAACACAGCAGGUCAUGUAAUGCAGAUUGCAUUGAUGACACUGACAUUCAAAUUGAUUUGAAAACAGCGCCAAAGGGAUUUCAGUCUUCCAGAUGCACAUCCCAUCACACCCCGACCUACUGAGUCUGUUGAACAUUCUUUUGCCAGGUCCUCUGACACCAAGGCCAAGCAUCCUGAGUCAAGAGUCUGAACUGUAGUGUGGCUUUCCCAGUGGUGUGACAGAACCUUCGUGGACAUCCCGUAGAUGACUUUAUAAAUUUCAGCCUCAUGGUACAUCAGAAGAUUCAGCUCUUUUGCAGAGGUUUGUCUGAGGAGUGGUGUUUUGAGAAGCGCUGUUUACUAUGAAGAAGUGUCCAAUCAACUGAACAUUUCAAAGAGGAGUCUUGGGAAUUCAAGACUCUGAGCAUUUUAUUUGAACUUUUAUGAAACUAUGUAAGCCAAGUGCAAAAACAAAAGUAAAAAGUAAGUAACACUUUAAAAAUGUAUAUUUGCUUCCAUUUUGUCAAGUGCUUGAACACAUGUGGAGUCACCAUUAUUUGCCUAUGAAAUAUACUAUUUUUGAAUGGAAAUGAAUAUAAAGAUAUUAUUUUUCUUCGUUAGAUUCAGUUCUAAUCUUAUGAAAAUCCUUUAUUUUUUUAUUUCAACAUUUGUAUUGAAAACAAACAAACAAAAAACCAAAACCCAUACUAUUUCAGA